UUUCUCUUGGGCCUUAACAUGUGAUCAAUUGGAUCUAAUAAUUGAUGAAAUCAUCAACACCAAAUUAUUAUUUUUUAUCAAAAAUAAAUAAAUCAAAAUAAUUAUUUUAUCUUUUCCUUAUUCAUUUUUCUUAAAAAAAACAAAUAAAAGAGAAUUAAAUCGAACCAUGUGCCAACAUGCAAAAAAAAAACAAAUAAAUGCAUUAAAGUAAUG
rnacentral:lncRNA from 1 species